rnacentral:rRNA from 1 species
UACGGAGGGUGCAAGCGUUGCUCGGAAUCAUUGGGCGUAAAGGGUUGGUAGGUGGUCUCAUUUGUCUGAUGUGAAAGCCCUGGGCUUAACCCGGGAAGUGCAUCAGAAACGGUGGGACUCGAGUACUGGAGAGGCAAGUGGAAUUCCCGGUGUAGCGGUGAAAUGCGUAGAGAUCGGGAGGAACACCAGAGGCGAAGGCGGCUUGCUGGCCAAAUACUGACACUGAACAACGAAAGCGUGGGUAGCAAACAGG